ACACGCUGGCGGCGUGCCUAAUACAUGCAAGUCGAACGGCUUUUCUAUGGAAGCUUGCUUCCACUGAGAAGAUAGUGGCGAACGGGUGAGUAACACGUGGGUAACCUGCCCAUAAGAGGGGGAUAACAUCCGGAAACGGGUGCUAAUACCGCAUAGUUUUCUUGAUCGCAUGAUUGAGAAAGGAAAGACGGCCUUUGUGCUGUCGCUUAUGGAUGGACCCGCGGCGUAUUAGUUAGUUGGUGAGGUAACGGCUCACCAAGACGAUGAUACGUAGCCGACCUGAGAGGGUGAUCGGCCACAUUGGGACUGAGACACGGCCCAAACUCCUACGGGAGGCAGCAGUAGGGAAUCUUCCGCAAUGGACGAAAGUCUGACGGAGCAACGCCGCGUGAGUGAAGAAGGUUUUUCCGGAUCGUAAAACUCUGUUGUCAGAGAAGAACAAGUUGGAGAGUAACUGCUCCAGCCUUGACGGUAUCUGACCAGAAAGCCACGGCUAACUACGUGCCAGCAGCGGC
rnacentral:rRNA from 1 species